rnacentral:rRNA from 1 species
UACAGAGGUCUCAAGCGUUGUUCGGAUUCAUUGGGCGUAAAGGGUGCGUAGGUGGCGCGGUAAGUCGGGUGUGAAAUCUCGGAGCUUAACUCCGAAAUUGCAUUCGAUACUGCCGUGCUCGAGGACUGGAGAGGAGACUGGAAUUCAUGGUGUAGCAGUGAAAUGCGUAGAGAUCAUGAGGAAGACCAGUGGCGAAGGCGGGUCUCUGGGCCGAUACUGACGUGAGGAGCGAAAGCGUGGGGAGCGAACAGG